UCAAAUUUCAACUCAUACACCCCUCUAUAAAUUGACUUGAAUGAAAAAUUGUAUAAAUUGGGGGUCAUAAAUAUUUGCUAGCAAAAUUGAUAUAAGAGUCCACAUAUUUGUCAAGACAUCGAAAAAAUUAUCGUGGUUUGUGUAAGGCUCCAAACUUUUUCUUUUCGUUGCUUGGAUCUGUAGUGGCAUCUUCAAUGUGUCUCUUAUUCUUGUCCUUCGUUUGGUUAAUCAUCCCCAAACUUUGCGAGUUUAUGUUUAUGACCCUUGCAGCAGAUGGAUCGCUGGCGAAAACUUUCGACUGUGAGGAUAAGUAAAUAGAACGUGUGAUGCAACAAGUAGGGGUGUUAACCAUUUCGUUCUUGGGUUCGAUAAUUUCACAUGACUUGGAGAAAUCGCUUACUUGCUGAGUCUUGAUGUUACCAAUGGAGAAAUGUCGUUCCUGGACCGUCACGACUUGAGUCUCUCUGACAUUUUCUCACUAACCAUACUAAUCACAAUGGAGAUGUAUUUGUAUCAGCAACCAUGAUUUACGUUUCAACAACACGACUUAUAUAUUUUCACAAAGUAUUUCUAGGGUUUUAUAGUAGCUCGAUGUUGGUAAUAACAACAGAAAAUACAAAAUCAAAUGGUUAAAUUGUACAAUAUUGUAGCGAUUGCGGUGAGCA
rnacentral:lncRNA from 1 species